rnacentral:tRNA from 1 species
GGUGGCUCAGCGGUAGAGCUCUUGCCUUGCAUGCAUGAGGCCCUGGGUUCAAUUCCUCAGUACCA